rnacentral:rRNA from 1 species
CCUACGGGAGGCAGCAGUGGGGGAUAUUGCACAAUGGGGGAAACCCUGAUGCAGCGACGCCGCGUGUGGGAAGACGGUCCUCUGGAUUGUAAACCACUGUCCCCAGGGACGAAGAUGACGGUACCUGGGGAGGAAGCUCCGGCUAACGACGUGCCAGCAGCCGCGGUAAUACGUAGGGAGCAAGCGUUGUCCGGAAUUACUGGGGGUAAAGGGAGCGUAGGCGGGAUGGCAAGUUGGGUGUUAAUUGUACCGGCUCAACUGGUAGUCGCACUCAAAACUGCUAUUCUUGAGUGAAGUAGAGGCAGGCGGAAUUCCUAGUGUAGCGGUGAAAUGCGUAGAUAUUAGGAGGAACACCAGUGGCGAAGGCGGCCUGCUGGGCUUUUACUGACGCUGAGGCUCGAAAGUGUAGGGAGCAAACAGGAUUAGAUACCCUAGUAGUC